ensembl:lncRNA
UGGGGGUAGGUAGUGGGGAGAGGUGGAAAAUGGUGGUUUUUUUUUGGACAAAGGGUUAGUUUGGGAAAUCCUGAGUUAAAUAGACACAUGGAGAUUUCUUAACCACACUUCUUCUCAGAGUGUCAAAUGUGUUAAUGUGCAUCUCCCCAAGGGGCAUAUUACAGGAAGAAUUUCCUAAACCUACUUGACCGCAGAACAUUUCCGAAUGCGGUUGUUUUCUAGUGGGGGAGGAAAGAAAGAUAAUGUGGAGGAAUGUGUGUGCAUGUGCUCAGUCGAUUAGUCGUAUCUGACUCUUUGCGACCCCACAGACUGCAGCAGGCCAGGCUCCUCUGUCCAUGGGAUUCUCCAGGCAAGGAUCCUGGAGUGGAUUGCCAUUUCCUCCUCCAGGGGAUCUUCCUAACCCGGGGAUAGAACCCAAGUCUCCUGCACUGGCAGGCAGAUUCUUUGCCACUGAGCCAUGUGGAGGUGGGACACCUCAAAUUCUCCUCCAAGGUAAGCAACCACCUCUCUCUAUUUGCAAACUACUGGCCUUGACCAGCAAUCUCCCGACUGCAGUGUGUAUUUGUGUCUAUACACUCAUGCAGGCAGGCAGAAUUCCUGAUUAUCAGCUCAAAGGCAGGAACCAGAUUGAUUUUUAUCACUUAGCUCUUAAGGUCUUCCAUCCCCUAAUAUUUGCUUGGGUCCCCUUGAGGACUCGGUGUGGACUCGCUAUUAAAUAAGGCAAAGCCUGCCUCGCAGGGUGUGGGUGUGAGCGGUUCUGGCUGGUUGGAGUGGAGCAGGGCGGGGCAGAAGAUCUUUUCUAUCUAAGGCCUGGAAGGAGACAAGGCAAGAAAUAGAGUCAUCGUAAAAUUCACAUAGAAUCACAAAGGACCCCAAAGAGCUAACAGAAUAUUGAAAAAGAACAAACUUUUAUACUUCCUGACUUCAAAACUUAGUACUUUAAGCUAUAGUAAUCAAAACAAUAUGGUACCGGCUAAAAGACAGAAAUAGAGGUGAUGCAGAACAGAGAGCCCUGAAAUAAACCAUUACGCAUGCAGCAAAUGGUCAAGGUUGCCAAGAUCAUUCAAUAGCGAGAAGACAGUCUUGGCAAAUGAUGUAGGAAAAACAGGCUAUUCACAUGAUAAAAGAAUAAAGUUGGACCCUUAUCUCUCAGCCUACACAAAAUUUAACUGAAAAUGGAUCAAAGACCUAAGAACUAAAACUAUAAGACUCUUAGAAGAAAACACUGGAGGAAAUCAUAGUGGUAUUAGAUUUGGCAAUGAUUUCUUGAAUAUGACACCAGAAGCACAGGUAACAGAAGAAAAAAUAGACAAGUUGGACAUCAAAAUUAAAAACUUUUGUUCAUCAAAAGGACAUGAUCAACAGAGUAAAAAGACAGCCCACAGAAUGGGAGACAAUAUUUGCAAAUCAUAAAUCUGAUAAGGGAUUAAUAUAUUGAAUACAUAAAGAACUCUUAAAACUUAACAAUAACAACAGCAAAAAUUCAAAAGUAACCAAAGGACUUGAAUUGACAUUUUUCCAGUGAGGAAAUACAGCCAGCCAAUAAGCACUUGAAAAGAUGCUCAACAUCACUAAUCAUUAGGAAAAUGCAAAUCAAAACCACAAGAUAUCGCAUCAUAUCUAUCAGGAUGCCUAACAUCAAAAAAACAAAAAGGUAACAAGUACUGUUGAUGAUAUAGAGAAAUUGGAAUCUUUGUGCACUGCUUGUAUAAGAUGAUGCAGUUGCUAUGGAAAAUAUUAUGACGGUUCCUCAAAAUAUUAAAAAUAGAAUUUAUCAAGGUUCAGCAAUUCCACUUCUGGGUAUAUGCCUCCUCAAAAUUGAAAUCAUGAAGAGAUACUUGUGUACCUGUACUCACAGCAGCAUUAUUCCAAGAGCAAAUGGUGAAAUGUCCACGAUGGAUGAAGGGAAAACAAAAUGUGGUACAUACACACAACGGACUAUUAGCCUUAAAAAGGAAGGAAAUUCUGACACGUAACAUGGAUGAACCUUCAAGACAUUAUGCUAAGUGGAAUAAUCCAGGCACAAAAGAAUAAACAUCAUAUGAUUCCACUCUUAUGAGGUGCCUAGAGUAGUCAAAUUCAUAGACAGAAAUCAGAAUUAUGAUUGCCAGGGGCUGGAGAGAGGAGGAAAUGGGGGCUGCUGGAUAACAGGUAAAGAGUUUCAGUUUUGCAAGACGAAAAAGCUCUAUGGAUGGAUGCUAGUGAUAGUUGCACAAAAAUGUGAAUUUCUUUAAAGCCACUGAGAUGUACACUUAAAUAUAGUUAAAAUGGUAAAUUUUACAAUAUGUAUAUUUUCAGUUCAGUUCAGUCACUCAGUCGUGUCUGACUCUUUGCGACCCCAUGAAUUGCAGCACGCCAGGCCUCCCUGUCCAUCACCAACUCCCGGAGUUCACUCAGACUCAUGUCCAUUGAGUCAGUGAUGCCAUCCAGCCAUCUCAUCCUCUGUCAUCCCCUUCUCCUCUUGCCCCCAAUCCUUCCCAGCAUCAGAGUCUUUUCCAAUGAGUCAACUCUUCGCAUAAGGUGGCCAAAGUAUUGGAGUUUCAGCCUCAGCAUCAGUCCUUCCAAUGAAUACCCAGGACUGACUUCACUACAAUUUUUAAAAAAAGGCAAGAGCAUAGCUGAGGUGGGGGAAAAGGAUAGGGUGAAAUAGAUGGGUGUCAAGUUACAUUAAAGCAUUUUGGAUAAAUUUGUUGUGAAGAAUCAUUUUAUGAAGCUCUUGAUUGAUGUUUUUGUUCAUUAACAUUUUCAUCGAUCAGCUUCGCUUAGGCACACCUCCAUUACUAUUCACAUCGCUUCCAUUCUCCUUGAUCUCUAAAUGUUAAUGGGUCCUGAAGAACGUCUCUCUGAGACUCUCCUUUGCUGCUUGUAUCUGCAUGGCAGCGUCAGCCUUCUGUUUUCUCAUCUCAUUUUUGUGUGUGAGCUUUCUAUAAAUUAACAUCUCAUGCCUGACCUCUCUGCCAAGCUACAUGUUGACUGCAGCUGUCUGCUAGACAGUCCUCCAGCAUCUCAAACUCAGGUGGGCUCAAACUGGACUCAUCAGUUUGUCCCUUGUUCUGCUGAGUUUCUGGUUUCCAUGGAAGGCGCCAUCAUUUUUCUGGUGCCUCAAGUGUAAGACCAACAACUUUGAGUCCCGUGUCCCUCUCCCUUCUUUCAGAUCUGCUCAGCUAUCAGCACCAUGGUGUUUUCUAUCUGUGAGCAUCACAUCCUGCACAGGUGCCCUUUUUUCCCUGUGCACUGUCUAUGCUAGCCCAGCCCUAGGUCCACUCGUGAGUCUCUCCCUGUGGGCCUGCCACAUCCGUGCUGGGGGUGCAGCUGUGACCUAGCCAGAGGAAAGCCAGUCCUGUUCCCUCUAGUAGAAGAUCAGACACUUGGAUAGGGCUUACUCC